rnacentral:scRNA from 1 species
CGCACGAAUGUCCUCGGCCCUCCAUGCCGUAC